rnacentral:rRNA from 1 species
CAAGUCGAACGCGAAAGUCCCCUUCGGGGGGCGAGUAGAGUGGCGCACGGGUGAGUAACACGUAGGUAAUCUACCUUUGGAUUGGGAAUAACCACCGGAAACGGUGGCUAAUACCGAAUAAUGCAGCGGCACCUAAUGGUGACAGUUGUUAAAGCGGGGGAUCGCAAGACCUCGCGUCUGAAGAGGAGCCUGCGGCAGAUUAGCUAGUUGGUAAGGUAACGGCUUACCAAGGCGAUGAUCUGUAGCCGGCCUGAGAGGGCGGUCGGCCACACUGACACUGACAUACGGGUCAGACUCCUACGGGAGGCAGCAGUCGGGAAUUUUGGGCAAUGGGCGAAAGCCUGACCCAGCAACGCCGCGUGAAGGAUGAAAUCCCUCGGGAUGUAAACUUCGCAAGAACGGGAAGAAUAAGUAAGAGCUAACAUCUCUUACGAUGACGGUACUGUUUGUAAGCUCCGGCUAACUCCGUGCCAGCAGCCGCGGUAAUACGGGGGGAGCAAGCGUUGUUCGGAUUUACUGGGCGUAAAGGGCGCGUAGGCGGCACCGCAAGUCGACUGUGAAAUCUCCGGGCUUAACUCGGAAAGGUCAGCCGAUACUGCGGGGCUAGAGUGCAGAAGGGGCAACUGGAAUUCUCGGUGUAGCGGUGAAAUGCGUAGAUAUCGAGAGGAACACCUGCGGCGAAGGCGGGUUGCUGGGCUGACACUGACGCUGAUGCGCGAAAGCUAGGGGAGCGAACGGGAUUAGAUACCCCGGUAGUCCUAGCCUUAAACGAUGAAUGCUUGGUGUCUGGGGUUUUAUAGUCCCCGGGUGCCGUCGCUAACGCUUUAAGCAUUCCGCCUGGGGAGUACGGUCGCAAGACUGAAACUCAAAGGAAUUGAC